GACGAACGCUGGCGGCGUGCUUAACACAUGCAAGUCGAACGAAGUGGCGAACGGGUGAGUAACGCGUAAUCAACCUGCCCUUCAGAGGGGGACAACAGUUGGAAACGACUGCUAAUACCGCAUACUGAAGGAGGGGAUUGCGUCUGAUUAGCUAGUUGGGGGGGUAACGGCCCACCAAGGCGGUGAUCAGUAGCAGGGUUGGGAGGAUGAACGGCCACAUUGGGAAUGGGACACGGCCCAGAAUCCUACGGGGGGCAGCAGGGGGGAAUCUUCCGCAAUGGACGAAAGUCUGACGGAGCAACGCCGCGUGAGUGAUGACGGCCUUCGGGUUGUAAAGCUCUGUUAAGCGGGACGCGGUACCGGAAUAGAAAGCCACGGCUAACUACGUGCCAGCAGCCGCGGUAAUUC
rnacentral:rRNA from 1 species